AAAGACUUAGUCCUAACCUUACUGUUGGUUAUUGCUAGAUUUAUACAUGCAAGUAUCCGCAAUCCAGUGUAGAUGCCCUAGGCACCCUAAUUUUAGGUCAAUAGGAGCAGGUAUCAGGCACACACCCUUCAACUGUAGCCCAAGACGCCUAGCAAUUGCCACACCCCCACGGGCAUUCAGCAGUAGUUAAUAUUAAGCAAUGAGUGUAAACUUGACUUAGUCAUAGCAACCUAAGGGUCGGUAAAUCCUGUGCCAGCCACCGCGGUCAUACAGGAGACCCAAAUUAACAUUACUAACGGCGUAAAGAGUGGUCACAUGCUAUCCAAGUAACUAAGAUUAAAAAACAACUGAGCCGUCACAAGCCCAAGAUGUGUACAAGGCCUCUAUUCAAAGAAGAUCUUAGACUAACGAUUAAUUGAAGCCACGAAAGCCAGGACCCAAACUGGGAUUAGAUACCCCACUAUGCCUGGCCCUAAAUCUUGAUGCUCGAUCUAACCGGAGCAUCCGCCUGAGAACUACGAGCGCAAACGCUUAAAACUCUAAGGACUUGGCGGUGCUCCAAACCCACCUAGAGGAGCCUGUUCUGUAAUCGAUGAUCCACGAUAUACCUGACCAUCCCUUGCUCAACACAGCCCAUAUACCGCCGUCUCCAGCCCACCCUCCAUGAAGGCCCAACAGUGGACGCAAUAGCUAUACCCCGCUAGCAAGACAGGUCAAGGUAUGGCCCAUGGGAUGGAAGUAAUGGGCUACAUUUUCUAGAUUAGAACAUAACGGCAAAGGCACGUGAAACCGUACCUCAAAGGCGGAUUUAGCAGUAAAGAGAGAUUAGCGAGCCCUCUUUAAGCCGGCUCUGGAGUGCGUACAUACCGCCCGUCACCCUCUUCAAAAGCGACCCCACACCCCAUAAAUAAUAAGUUUCUCAGCCAAAGAAGAGGUAAGUCGUAACAAGGUAAGUGUACCGGAAGGUGCACUUAGGACAC
rnacentral:ncRNA from 1 species